AAGAAGGAAGUUUGAGCUUGAUGCCAAAUGGCUAAAAUAUCUUCCAUAUUAUAUGAUUAUCAUUCGAAUAAAAACUUAUUUUAUAUAUCAAUCCUCACAUCUUCUAUGAUUGGUGGGGUGACAACUAGUUAUUGUUCUCAAAGUGAUGAAGGGGAAGCCCCUGGUUGCAUUUGUUGUUCUAUUAAUUUAUGGAUCGUGUUUGUGUUCACUAGGGUCUUGUUAAGCCCAUAAGUCACUCCCUUUGACAAAUUCCACUACAUCAAAAAUUCUUACUUUUUGUUUUUUAUUGAGGUUGUCACUUUGAUAUUGCAGAUUUAGUUUAAAA
rnacentral:misc_RNA from 1 species